UGUGAUCAGUGCAGGUCUGUAUUUUUUUUGCAUACUUAUUUUUAGAUAAUAUCAGUUGAGAAAAGAGGGGAAAAAAGGUAAAACCUCGUGCUGGAUCUGAGCAAACAGAAAGGUCAGCGGUUAAGUUCUGCCUUAUGUAUUGUAUAUGCUGAAAUGUCCUUUUAAUAAAUUAAAACACAAAAUGAAAGAGUAGCUGAACGCUAGCAUUUGGCCUUGCAACAUAGGUCAAAGGUUACUUUUUUUUCUCAAAAACGGUUUUGCAAAUCUUUUUCAGAGCUGAUAGAUACACACCUUAGCUGGAUACAAAACAUUAUAUGAAAAAGAAUGACAGAUCUUUGAUCCAAGCAAUCAAAAAGAAAGUGAACGAAAUUAUCAGGAAGGAAUUUUCUGGACUCCCUGCCAGAAAUCAGACAUAGAAGAAGAUUUGUGAGACAGCUUCUACCAAAUCCUUCCAUAACUGACCUCUUAGAUCCUUCCAGUGCCCCUGCAACCUCCUGCUUCCUUAACUGUUCAUCUCAAGGCACCAGUUCAAUGCAAGGAACAAUGUAUUGGCAUCAAGCUGACAGCCUUGACUAAGCAACUCGCCACCUCUCUCUGUAAACAUGGAAAAGGGCACCCUUCCUUUCGUCCAAAGAUCGCAUUGUUCUCAUGUAACAGAGCAUCUGUCUGAGGAAACACUUCAAGCCUGCUGCAAAAAUCUAGCUGUGUAUCGAUGCAUCUAUCUCAGAAUAAGGGAGAAGUAGAUGGCACUCCUGAACGCCACACAAAGCAAGGGAGGUUAUAUAUUAGUCUUUUUAUUUGGGUGGGGUGGGAAACAAGGGAAGAAAGAGUAAUAUAUUCCGUAAAAGAGCAGCAGCACUGUGCAGCUCACUAACAGUGGCUUGCCUUCCAGGUCGCAAAGCCCUUCUGAAAAAUUCUGUUGUAGGAAACUGAGGCAGCUCAAGCUCACUCUGCCUUUAUCCAGUCUGGGAGCAGAAGUUGUAUUUUCUGACCCCGAGCACCGUGAUCAGUAUUUCAAGCAAUAGAUGUCAACAGAACCCGGGAGUUUUCUCCAUUUUUUCUUGUCAGAAUGAACAGGGAUUUGAUGGAGAAGGAUGCUCUGGAGAGCCAGUGAAAAGAGCAGUUCAGCAGCUGUUACACCUAUCUCAAGGUAAAUGAAACCCACGUAAACAGAGAUGAAUGUAUAGGAGUCACAGUAAACCCAAAUAUUUUAUGACCCAUCCUCAUUUAGGCAGUGUACAAACACAUCUUACAUAUUUUCUCCCUAAUAAAUUGCUGCUGCUUCUUCUCAUGUAGAGCCCGCUCUUGGCUGGUACCUUGUCUCAUGUAGCAGCUGUAAUGUUUAACCACACAAGCUGCAGAGGAAAAUAAUUGCAUUUCACAGAAGCUGUAUGUUCCAGAAAAAGUAUACACUUACAAUUCUCUGUCUCUUUAGCACUGCAAAGCUACCAGCGGCUUCUGGAAAGGUUAAAGUUCCAUGCGAGGUAGCAUGUAAUGUUUUGCUUUGUGUGUUUGAAUGUAAUGUACUGACAAAUGCUUGUCACGGUAAGAGCUGCCUGCAGCCUGCAGCCGUACAGCUCGCGAGUUUGUGACGUUUCUCAGUGCAUCUCUGGUACCCCAGUGGGAUGAAAGCACACCUGGAGUGGCUGAUCUCUGCAGUGAGAGGCUGCUGCUCUGUGGGCAGCAGUGGUUUGUGAAUGAGGAAAGCUGCACUGUUCCAGGCACUGAGCCUGAACUCAUAGAAAACACAGCAAACCCGCCCUGUUCUCAGCUGCUUCACAGCAGACUUCAGCCGUGUGCCCACGUGCUCACAGCAGCCACUGGGCCAUGUGAAUUUGAAGACCAGCAGAGCAGCUGCCUGGUUUGUUCCCCAGUACUGCAAGAAAGAUGCUUGCACCAAUCCCACAGACUUCAGCAGGGAUAAAACUGGGGCUGCGGUGCCUGCUGCAUAGUUCAGUUAUUGAUAGUUAAACAGCAUUUAUACUGCACAGCACUUCAGCUGGUUCACACGCCUCAGAGGAGCUACUUUUUCAAUUGUUUUUAACCCGCCAUAUUGUUGGAAUCGACCAUCUGUUAUGUAAUUUUAAUGCAUUUUAAUGGAUUUUUCAUUUUGAAAACUUGCUAAUGCCAACAGUUGCCUGUCAGAAAUUCUUUACUGCAGCCGAGCAAAAGAAGAGCCCAGAUGGGUCUCUGCCUGGAAGUACCAGAAAUGGCCAUCUAGUUUUCCCUGAUCCAACCUGUAAGGGUAAGACAGGAGAAAUGAAAAAGUAAAAACAAAAAUCCAUUCAGAGCAAACCAAAGUCCCCAAGGAACUGACAGAAACAUUUCUUUUGCUGGAUCUCAAACGAAAUACUAAAGAAUGUGAGCUGCUUUGCAAGACUGGAACUUGCUGCUUUGCUGGUGGCUGUCAGAAUACAGCUGGCCGUGGCAGUGCCCUCAGUCAGAUCCCACACACCGAAUCCCCAGCUGCCCUCCCUGCAGCAUGCAGUUGCACUACGUGUGUUUGUGCUCUUGACUGAUUUUAAUCGUCAUUUUUUGUCUCCCAGUGACCAUUUAAACAUCUUUCUCCCCUUGCUGCUCUGUGCAUAACCAUAUAAAGCAGACAGGAAGGCGUGGAGCCUUACAGAAGGCAGCGAGCCCUCAGCAGGAGCCACGCAGGCUGACCCCGAGCCCUGCAGGGCUCCUGAGCAGGAUGUGCCCUUACCUGAGCAUGAACUGGAAGGUCGGAUGCAUGCUGCUCUGGGGUGUUCUUUUGGGCAGUUUGCUUUGGAGAGCAGGAGGGGGGUUUAUACAUAUAUAUUUAAUAUAUGCUACAAGUGCUUUACUCGUGCUUGCACUAGCUGUAUUUCCUCCUCCUUUCUAAAGGCAUAGAUACUAAUCUGGACGUGUGUUAGAGUAGGGGCAUAUACAUCUGUCUAUAUACUAUAACCACAUAAGUGUGGAUGGUUAUAUAUAUACAUGUACACAUCCAUCUGUGCUUCUCUCUGACCCACACACCAGUCCUACAGCUGGCUGCAGCCACGCAGACCUGCUGCCACACAAAGCCAGCAGCUGGAGCGAGGGUUCGUAUGAUGUAUAUAAUAUAGACUACAUUUUAGUGGUUCUAUUUACAGCUGCGUCAGGUCAGGCUGUGCUACUCUUACCUGCUUUUACACCAACCGUUAGUUACAUAGAACAGCUUUAACCACUUUAUAUUUAUUUCUGGAGAGAAGGAGUCUCCUCAGACAUAGCGAUAUACGUUGUUGUCUCUUUUUAAAAAGAAAACAGAUAUGUUACAGAUAUAUAGCUAGGCUGAAGAACUUCAGAAUAUGCAUACUAAAUUAUUUCCUGUUCUUGCUGAGCAGUGUUCCUCCAGUAUUAAUACUCGUGGCAUAACACGCCUCGCUCUCUCUCUUAGAAGCAUUAGGUUAACCUCGGAAGAGUUAAUGCCAUUCUGUGAGCAAUUCGUUCUCACUUUAUCUGGAAGAUAGCCAUAUUUGCACAUGAGGAAAUUCUGUCUUUCCUCAGUUAUCUGAAUGUUUCACCACAGUGCCUUCCUGCCAUUGUACCAAAGGCCUCCUUGUGUGCAGGGUGUACAACUCUAAUGCGUUUUCCAUCAAAGUUAUACCAUGUGAAGUACGUGGGGCUCAUUGGAACUCAGAGUUCAUCUCUUUCUUUUUUCUGUGCGUGUGCAUUUUUUUACUUCGUUUUUUCCAUCCGAGCUUUGGCUGCAAGUACAGGAUGAGCUUCUAUAAACGUCUGCAUCAAAUAUAUGAAUGCGUAAAAUAAAACCAUCGUUCACGAUGUGUAAACAGUCUAAGAGUGGAAUGGGAGUGGACAGAUACCAGGGAGAUGUUUUUGUGUCAGUUACGAGUGUCGGAAGCACAGUUUGCCAGGAGAGGAGUUGCUCGUGAAUGCAAUGAAAUGCGAAGUCCCGUUUUUGUUUUUCUCCGUGAGAAUAAGCAAAGUGGAAGAUCUGAGCUGCGAUGGGUGAAGGUGUCUAAUGUACGUGUUGUUACUGGGAGAAAGAAUGUAGAAGAGCCAUGGGUUUUGCACUUGCUUUAUUUGUAUCCAUGUAAAUAUGUAUCACUUCCAUUCUUCUUGUAGGGAUACGGCAUUUUCUGAAUGUAGAAUAUUUCCAAAAACAGCACUAUGUUAUUCUCUAUUGUAUAAAAUGCUGCUGCUUUAUAACAUAUCUAAAACAGUUCUCAAAUUAGCUAGCAUGUUUUUAAAAUGUAUUUUGUAAUCCGUAUCUUUACCAAAAAAAGUGUCUAUGCUUUUGGUCUGGCCAAAUAUGCAACGCCUUUUGGAUUAAGGAUAGUAUUUAUAAAGGAUGGAUCUUCAUUUGUCGAUGCGCGUUAAUUUUCUAUGCAAUUGUUGUGGAAUUGUUACUGCCCCCAAAAGUCGUGUUUGAUCCAUUUUCCAAAGACUUCAAAGACAGCUUUAAACACUUUCAAAGCAUGUUUCUAAAUAUUUCAAUCUUUUUAUCCCCAUAUUUCUUUCCAAAUUGCUUUCUAAUAGAGAACAAUUAUCUGCCAGAUGGGAUUCAAGAAAACGACUCCCAUCUUAUUUUCAGAUUUUGAAUUGAUUCACAUCUUCAUAAAGCCUAUACCAUGUGAAAUCACCUGGUGUUCGCGUUUACCUGCAGUUCUCUUGGUUAUUCACAUGACAUUUGGGUGAACUGCAGAUUCUCCAGAAAUUGACUGUUCUCCUCGUUGUUUACAUCGCACUGAUUCCAUGUGUGUGUGUGAGGCAUCUCACAGUGCCUGCUGUGACACACGGGGGUGACAGUCCUCAAUUCAUCUCAGUUCAGAAUGAGUAAUCCACCUUUUUGGAAGCCGGCAUCUGUCUUUCACAUCUGCUACUUUUAUCAGUGCAGCAGGUGACAGUCGGUAGGAAUUCCUUUAACACCACUCAGUAUCUAACCCAUCUGGUCUAAGCCAUUUGUUUUGCCAUUUUCCUUGUUCCUGGUAUACGGAAAUAAAUAAAUUGGGACCAAACCAACAUCGCAGUGCAAAUUGGAAAUGAAGAUGCUGACAUUCUAAUAGAUCAAACGAGUGGUCACCUGGGGAAGAAGUUCAUGUUUCUUUCCAAUAACUCACUCAGAACAGCCAAAUGGGGCAGAAAGUUCUAGAAUGGCUGAGUCACCAAACGAAUAAUGUUCUGUGUCACCAGCGGUGUGCCGGUGGGAUGAGCAGUCAUUCCUCCAGAGCUGCAAGGACUGAAGUGCUGCUGUUGUGGCAGUGCUGCCAGCCCCUGAACACAGCAGUGUGGUGAGAGCUGGGAUGCACAGCCAGGUACCUGACAGGGGCACUGCUGUGUCCUGGCUGGGACCUGUGUGUGUGUGUGAGAUGAUGAUGUGUUCCCCUGGCUCAGGACGCCCAGGUCUCCUUGCAGACACUCUCUGUGCAAAGCCCUGUUAGCAGACAUAUAUGCAAGAAAGCAAUCAUCUCUCAGAUCAUUCUAGCAGAUGUCUUUUUAAUCAAACUGUUUGUUCAAAAGCCUAACUUUAAGAACUGAAAGAGUUCAUAUCAUUUACAUUCCUACAACAUGGUUAACCUCCAAUGUAAUUUUUUUGCUAUCGUCUGUAAAAUAUUUUUAUAUAUUGCCUGUACUGUGGUAGUUUAGCAAUAAAUGAGAGGAUAUCAUCUGC